rnacentral:rRNA from 1 species
CCUACGGGUGGCAGCAGUGAGGAAUAUUGGUCAAUGGACGCAAGUCUGAACCAGCCAUGCCGCGUGCAGGAAGACGGCUCUAUGAGUUGUAAACUGCUUUUGUACGAGGGUAAACGCAGAUACGUGUAUCUGUCUGAAAGUAUAGUACGAAUAAGGAUCGGCUAACUCCGUGCCCGCAGCCGCGGUAAUACGGAGGAUUCAAGCGUUAUCCGGAUUUAUUCGGUUUAAAGGGUGCGUAGGCUGUCGGAUAAUUUAGAGGUGAAAGCCCGAGGCUCAACUUCGGAAUUGCCUCUGAUACUGUUCGGCUAGAGAGUAGGUGCGGUAGGCGGAAUGUAUGGUGUAGCGGUGAAAUGCUUAGAGAUCAGACAGAACACCGAUUGCGAAGGCAGCUUACCAAGCUACUUCUGACGUUGAGGCACGAAAGCGCGGGUAUCGAACAGGAUUAGAUACCCCAGUAGUC